rnacentral:rRNA from 1 species
UGUGAACUCGAAGAGUAGGGCGGGACACGUGGUAUCCUGUCUGAAUAUGGGGGGACCAUCCUCCAAGGCUAAAUACUCCUGACUGACCGAUAGUGAACCAGUACCGUGAGGGAAAGGCGAAAAGAACCCCGGCGAGGGGAGUGAAAAAGAACCUGAAACCGUGUACGUACAAGCAGUGGGAGCACCUUCGGGUGUGACUGCGUACCUUUUGUAUAAUGGGUCAGCGACUUAUAUUCUGUAGCAAGGUUAACCGUAUAGGGGAGCCGCAGGGAAACCGAGUCUUAACUGGGCGUUAAGUUGCAGGGUAUAGACCCGAAACCCGGUGAUCUAGCCAUGGGCAGGUUGAAGGUUGGGUAACACUAACUGGAGGACCGAACCGACUAAUGUUGAAAAAUUAGCGGAUGACUUGUGGCUGGGGGUGAAAGGCCAAUCAAACCGGGAGAUAGCUGGUUCUCCCCGAAAGCUAUUUAGGUAGCGCCUCGUGAAUUCAUCUUCGGGGGUAGAGCACUGUUUCGGCUAGGGGGUCAUCCCGACUUACCAACCCGAUGCAAACUACGAAUACCGAAGAAUGUUAUCACGGGAGACACACGGCGGGUGCUAACGUCCGUCGUGAAGAGGGAAACAACCCAGACCGCCAGCUAAGGUCCCAAAGUCAUGGUUAAGUGGGAAACGAUGUGGGAAGGCACAGACAGCCAGGAUGUUGGCUUAGAAGCAGCCAUCAUUUAAAGAAAGCGUAAUAGCUCACUGGUCGAGUCGGCCUGCGCGGAAGAUGUAACGGGGCUAAACCAUGCACCGAAGCUGCGGCAGCGACACUAUGUGUUGUUGGGUAGGGGAGCGUUCUGUAAGCCUGCGAAGGUGUGCUGUGAGGCAUGCUGGAGGUAUCAGAAGUGCGAAUGCUGACAUAAGUAACGAUAAAGCGGGUGAAAAGCCCGCUCGCCGGAAGACCAAGGGUUCCUGUCCAACGUUAAUCGGGGCAGGGUGAGUCGACCCCUAAGGCGAGGCCGAAAGGCGUAGUCGAUGGGAAACAGGUUAAUAUUCCUGUACUUGGUGUUACUGCGAAGGGGGGACGGAGAAGGCUAUGUUAGCCGGGCGACGGUUGUCCCGGUUUAAGCAUGUAGGCUGGUUAUCCAGGCAAAUCCGGAUAAUCAAGGCUGAGGUGUGAUGACGAGGCACUACGGUGCUGAAGUAACAAAUGCCCUGCUUCCAGGAAAAGCCUCUAAGCAUCAGGUAACAUCAAAUCGUACCCCAAACCG